rnacentral:rRNA from 1 species
UACAGAGGUCCCAAGCGUUGUUCGGAUUCAUUGGGCGUAAAGGGUGCGUAGGCGGCGCGGUAAGUCGGGUGUGAAAUCUCGGAGCUUAACUCCGAAACUGCAUUCGAUACUGCCGUGCUUGAGGACUGGAGAGGAGACUGGAAUUUACGGUGUAGCAGUGAAAUGCGUAGAGAUCGUAAGGAAGACCAGUGGCGAAGGCGGGUCUCUGGACAGUUCCCUGACACUGAGGCACGAAGGCCAGGGGAGCAAACGGG